UGUUGACAGCAGCAGUCAAUGCAGAGUGUAAACGGUAAUUCCGGGUUGUCGGGGUUCCCUCUGAAACAUUGGCCAUCAUCCAUCAUCAUCAUUACGCACUGAGACAGUGCCAUUCCGCAACAUUUGCGGACCAAGGCAUCAAGGAAUGUACUUGUUGCGAACCAUACCGCGGCGUCAGUGUCCAAAAGCAGUCAAAUGCUGCGCAUGCACAACCUAUUGGUGUCUUCAGUCAAUGGAACCUGCCUAACCCAUCACACGAAAAAAACUAGAUUGGAAGAUUAUCAAUUUACUCAGUUAGUUGUGCGGCGAGUCCCGGAAACAUUGUUUUAUUAUUUUGUCACAUGGCUGAGAGAUUUCAAUAACAACAAAAAAUGGCGACAAUCACGUUGUUCGAUGUGGGUCUUGCUGCGUCAUUAAAACUAUUCACGUAAACACGGGAAUGAAACGCGCAAAAUGCAAAAAACAGCAACAAGCUUUCCCGACAACGUGGAGUUGAAUAUCUGGAACCAUUGAAAUGUGAUGAUUGCUUUCAAUAUUUUUCUUUCGCGUUUUAAACGUGUAUUUAAUGUAUAGGAUACCUGGUCUGCGCUUUGCGAUUAUUGAAGGGUCCGAGAUACGCUAUUAUGAUAAUAUACUAAGUACAGUCUAUUGGGAGUUGUAUAUGCUAUUUGCAUUUUUACAGUUACGCAACUAAUGUUAUGUUUUGCUCGAUUGAACUGUUGUUUCAACCUUGCGCAGCAGGUUAUUUUUCAAGUAAGUGUUGGCAAGUGCUCCUGCAAUUCUGUGAUACCAAAACAGAACCAGCAAAUCGAGUUGUUUACAUGAAGCGGAGGGAGAAGGAGAUAGGGAGGAGCCUCCUCCGGCGGGCUACGCGACUGGACUGCUGGAGAGCCUUCGCGCACUGAGGGCGGAACCCCAAGAACCAUAACAAGUCCGACGUCAGCAAUGUGGUGUCCAUAAAUUAUGCAGUUCAAACACUACCGAGUAAACAGUGGUGACUUCGACCAAUUAACAAGGUUUUAUUCCUUUAGGCUACAUGUAUCUGUUGUAUAGGAAAUUAUAUUUCAAAGGGGUUUAUGAAAAAGCUGAUAUGCUACAGUAGUUACACAUGUAUUGGUAGGUAUUACAGUCAUGUGAGGUGAGAAAGAAACAUCUUACUAAUGGUAGUAAAAUACCUUUCUAGAAUUCUAUAAUGCCUGUGUGGAAUUCAUAGCACAUACACAAUUCACAAUUAUAUCCUGUGAAAAUUUACAAAGUUUUGCAGAUUUUGGUAACCUAUUAGAGAAACCUCUUUACAUUACUUCUGCAUGCAAUUGUGUUCUCGUUCUUGUAAUGUGAUACCAUGAAAUACAUAAAUACAGACAUGAUAUUUGGAUUU